UUGCUGUGAUGAUGGAUUCCAUACCAUUCGUAGUUUCCACCAGAGACCUACACAGGUCAAUGUUGGCCUAACCUUCCUUGGAUGUCUGAGCAA
ensembl:snoRNA SNORD14 Small nucleolar RNA SNORD14